CAAGGGACUGGUUUCUGUCAUGACUGUUUCAGAGCACUAAGGGGACCCUACAUACUCUAGAUGCCUGGGAGCCACUGAGAAUUGAUGCUGCUCAAAUGUUCCUAAAUCAACAAACUUGAAAACACCAACAAGGCAUAGUCUAAAAAGUGGAUCUCACAGUUCCCAGUUCUGCUGAAUAUUGUCACUGGUUACCUGUGGGGAGCUGCAUGGUGUGAUAUGAGGGGGGAAUCAAGACUACAGUGAAAGAACUUGAGUGAGGCCUAUGGCCGCACAGCUAUAAAGACAAUUUCCAGUCUCCCCUGCAUCAAAUGUGCCUGUGUCCUCGCCAAUGGAUUACAAGUUGAGAACAGCACUGGAAGCUGGUGAUGAAGAGGAGCCCUUCUCCCUUUUGAUGUGAAACAGAUACAAUGUCAAA